rnacentral:rRNA from 1 species
UAGGGAAUCUUCCACAAUGGACGCAAGUCUGAUGGAGCAACGCCGCGUGAGUGAAGAAGGUUUUCGGACCGUAAAGCUCUGUUGUUGGUGAAGAAGGAUAGAGGUAGUAACUGGCCUUUAUUUGACGGUAAUCAACCAGAAAGUCACGGCUAACUACGUGCCAGCAGCCGCGGUAAUACGUAGGUGGCAAGCGUUGUCCGGAUUUAUUGGGCGUAAAGCGAGCGCAGGCGGAAGAAUAAGUCUGAUGUGAAAGCCCUCGGCUUAACCGAGGAAUUGCAUCGGAAACUGUUUUUCUUGAGUGCAGAAGAGGAGAGUAGAAACUCCAUGUGUAGCGGUGGAAUGCGUAGAUAUAUGGAAGAAUACCAGUGGCGAAGGCGGCUCUCUGGUCUGCAACUGACGCUGAGGCUCGAAAGCAUGGGUAGCGAACAGGAUUAGAUACCCUGGUAGUCCAUGCCGUAAAACGAUGAGUGCUAAGUGUUGGGAGGCUUCCGCCUCUCAGUGCUGCAGCUAACGCAUUAAGCACUCCGCCUGGGGGAGUACGACCGCAAGGUUGAAAC